ensembl:lncRNA
CGUUCAAUUGGGCAGCGGAACACUGACGUUCUACUGGGGACGAGGCACCAGCCAGGGUCGCAGAGCAUCCCUCCAUCUCUGCGGAGCUGGGUGCCAGCUCUGCACGUUAAUUCAGGCUCUGCCCUCCUGGGGGCGCCGUGCCCCAGCUCUGAGCCCCCGGGGACGGGGAGCGGGCAGCGGUGCGCGCCCGCACCCCAGGGUCUGUCUCCGCCGGAGCCUUUCGCGGUGCUGAUACGCGCCCCCGCGCCCCCUGCCGGGUGCUGCACCGGACAUCCACCCGCCCGCACCUCCGAACCCCCUCCCGCACCGGCUUCCAGAAAGCUCCCGGUGCUUUCUACCGCAUUCUUUGGGCGUGAGUCAUGCAGGUUUGCAGCCAGCCCCAAAGUGGGUGUAUACGCAGCAGAGCGCUAUAAAUACGAGCGCCUCACCGUGCUGUGCACGCGGCGUCGCCAGGAGGAGCGCGCGGGCACCGCUGACCGGGUACAUCAGAGAAACAUCACACAACCUCCAUCAGACUUCAGACAUCUGAUUCAACUGUCUCAUUUUAUAGAUGAUAAUCUGAAGCCUGGAGAGGUUUAGGACCAUCUCCAAAGAUAGACAGCAAAUAGGUAUCAGAAUUGGAAUUAGAACCCAAGCCUUGACCUUCCAGAAUUUCUGGACCUAAUGAAAAAAAGAAACUUAUUAUUAUGUUUUUUUAAGAGUGAAGUUUGGAAUUUAAGAGUAAGUACAGAUACUAUAGAAGGAUGCUUGCCAGAGUGUUCAUGAUAAUAAUAGUGGGAAAUUACAGACAAUUUAAAUGCCCGGCCUCGUGGGAUGGCAAAAUAAAGUACAUCAGAAAAAGGACUCUUGUUACACAGCCACAAAAGUGUGCUUUUAGAGAGUAUUUGAAGAUAGUGGAUGUAAAGGAUCCGACUGUAUGCAAAUGCAUAGAAAAGAGGAAAUAUACCACAGUGCUAAUGUUUGCCUCUCCAUGGUGUGAAUUACAGGUGAAUUAUUUUCUCAUUUUUCUUUUUGUUUGAGUUUUCUGCAUUUGGGGAGGCAGUAGGAGAGGAGCUUGGGCUUUGGGCUUUAAACCCUGCAGCUUACUAGCUGCAUGACCAUGUCCUCCCCACGGCUUCCUCUGGGGAAAGGAGGGCCUUGGAGUGGCUUGUUCAAUCAGAGCAGUUGGCAACCAGGCACCCUGGCCAGGAGAUGGGUGUGGAGGUGAGUCAGUGCAAAGGGAGGGCAGUUUGGCCGCGCAGCCGCUGUUAUCCUACUGGCCUUGGACUAGUAUCGAUAUCACCUGCAAGCUUAUUAGAAAAGCAGUCUCUGAAUCAGAAUCAGCAUUAUAACAAGACUCCCGGGUAAUUCGUAGGAGCUGAUCACAUCACUGAGGCAAAGCCCACAGUCGGGGAGGGACCACAGAUGACCUUUGUGUACCUGCUUCAGUUCCUCUGUCCCUCUCCCAACACACCAUCUCCUCCCACUUCCCCGAUAGAUACUGCCAAUGCCCAUGAUUGAUCCUACGUCAAUUUUGAAGGAGUCGGAAUUUCCUAUGAUUACAUAAGACCCUUGGGUUUACAGAACACAUUCCCAUCUCUAAAAUCUCUAUUAGGUCCAUUUUACAGGUGAGGAAAUGGAGGCUCAGAGAUUUAAGUGACUUGGUGUCAAGGAAACCACACUGGACUGGGGUUUGGGAGGGCUGAGUCCUUAUCCUGGGGUUGUCACCAGCUUGCUGCAGGCCUUGGGGAGCCCCAUCCUGUCUCUGGGUUCAGCCUCCCCUCUGAGGUGGAGGGAUUGGGCGUGAGACAGGUCUCUCUCCCAGCUUGGAACUCAGUGGCUCCCAUGGCCCCCAGGCUCUUGGUGGGAGAUCCUGUACUGACCGCUGGGAUUCCAGGCUUCUCAUCCAGAGCUCUUGCCUUUGGCUGUCCCGUCUCUCUUUUCCUCAGGACCCAAUGCCCUGUCUUCUGGUCCCAACCUAUUUCAGAGGCUCGUGUCUGGAUUUCUCAGAAGUCUUUGCUAUCGGGGGCCUCUUGCUGGAGGGGUGUUUCUCGCCAGCUUUCGCUCUCUGGCGUGACAAAGGCUCUGUCCCUGUUUGAGGCGUUUCAGGCUUCAGUGAGCAGCUAGGACAGAGCCACGCAGACCUGAAAUAGCACCCUGGCCUAGCUGCCCACUCACCAUCUCUGGGGAAGGCGGUGACCCGCUCUCUUCUCCCACGCUGCUCGGGAACCACAGCCUGGCUGCCUUACUAAUUAUGUCUCAGGAGAGACUUGCCUCAUUAAUAUUCUCCCAAGGGUCCAGAUGGGCCUGCUGAGCGGAGAGCAGCUUCUGGAUGUGCAUCAUUUCGGGAAGGGGAGACCCCCUUCCCAUUCUCUUAGGGGAAACGGGUGAGUUCAGAUGAGCAUUGGGGUGAAGGGCAGUGCAGGGGGAGGGGUUUCUGUUUUGCAACAACUUCAGCUUCUGGGAAAGGGUCCAUUGUGUAAGACCAGCUGGUCCAGGGCUCAAGGCAGCUAGCCGAGUGGUGGUGGGAGGACCCUGGCACACACCCUGCUGUGGGCUUAGAGGGACUGGCUGCGUGAAAGGGACCUGGUAGAGCAGAGUGGCACGUCCUCCCACAGGGACUUUUCCUGGGGAGGUUCUUUGCCCUGCUCCCCCCCCUGCCGUUAAUCCUUUGGCUUUGCCCCUCCCUCUCUAUUCCCUGAAGACAACCGUCCUCCCCGCCUUGCUCUACUUUCAUCCACGCUAGGGAUGACAAAUGGAUUUAUUUCCCUGUAGCAACCCAUAGGCUGUCACUGCCUCAGACCCUUGAAAAGCAAUUUCAGGAGGUGUCGAGCCUUGGUGGGGACAGUGCUGUGAUUGAUUGGUGAUGCCUGCUGUGGGCAGGAUGGGUGAUGCAGACAGCAGGGGGCUGUCUGUGCUGUGGGCUGCAGUCCCCACUUUAGGGGGACGGCAGAGGCCAGCUGAGUGACCCAAGAGAGGUGUUUUCAGGGUUCGUUUGACGUGAGCAGGUAUAUCAGAUAGAUGCCCUUUCUGGAUGCAGAAAGCACAUGUGCCUUUUUUAGGCAUAGUCAGCUAUUAUGGGGGACAAGGAGAAGGAGGAAGGAGGAGGGCGGCUCGGACCAGAGCCCAGUGGCUCUGACUCUGGAGUUCUCGUUUCUUCUAUAUCAGGCUGCUGUCCUGUGGUUCCUCCCUGUACCCACUUCCUCCACUUCCUUUUGAAGGGGCCCAGUGGCAAGUCUGAUACUUUCUUGUCACUUCCCUGGGAUAAAAAGUCAGUGAUGCCAGCUGCAGGGAGAGUGGAGGGCAAGGCCUCGGCAGGGUUCCUGGGAAGCCGCACAGGCAGCAGGCUGGGCCCGUAACCAGCGGGCUGUCUAGCUGUUACCAUGACAGU